UACGUAGGGGGCGAGCGUUGUCCGGAUUUAUUGGGCGUAAAGAGCUCGUAGGCGGUUUGGCAAGUCGGGUGUGAAAACUCCGGCUCAACUCGGAGACGCCACUCGAUACUGCCAUGACUCGAGUCCGGUAGGGAGUGGCGGAAUUCCUGGUGUAGCGGUGAAAUGCGCAGAUAUCAGGAGGAACACCGAUGGCGAAGGCGGGUCUCUGGGCCGAUACUGACGCUGAGGAGCGAAAGCGUGGGGAGCAAACAGG
rnacentral:rRNA from 1 species